rnacentral:rRNA from 1 species
CCAGACUCCUACGGGAGGCAGCAGUGAGGAAUAUUGGUCAAUGGGCGAGAGCCUGAACCAGCCAAGUCGCGUGAGGGAAGACGGUCCUAUGGAUUGUAAACCUCUUUUGCCGGGGAGCAAAAAGCGGUACGUGUACCGCAUCGAGAGUACCCGGAGAAAAAGCAUCGGCUAACUCCGUGCCAGCAGCCGCGGUAAUACGGAGGAUGCGAGCGUUAUCCGGAUUUAUUGGGUUUAAAGGGUGCGUAGGCGGACGCUUAAGUCAGCGGUAAAAUUGCGGGGCUCAACCCCGUCGUGCCGUUGAAACUGAUGUUCUUGAGUGGGCGAGAAGUAUGCGGAAUGCGUGGUGUAGCGGUGAAAUGCAUAGAUAUCACGCAGAACUCCGAUUGCGAAGGCAGCGCACCGGCGCCCUACUGACGCUCAGGCACGAAAGCGUGGGUAUCGAACAGGAUUAGAUACCCCAGUAU